GUGCACCAGGCGCGAAAACUUCACACUGUGCGAAAGCACGAUGAGGGAAUCCCAAGUGCUUGCACGUAAGUGUAAGCUGUUUCUCUGUCUAAAACGCAGAGAGAGUAAGGGCUGGGUAAGACGGGUGCCAGCCGCCGCGGUAAUACCUGCAGCUCAAGUGGUGACCGUUAUUAUUGGGCCUAAAACGUCCGUAGCCGGUUUAAUAAAUGCCUGGGUAAAUUGUGUAGCUUAACUAUACGAAUUCCGGGUAGACUGUUAAACUUGAGACCGGGAGAAGUUAGAGGUACUCCUGGGGUAGAGGUGAAAUUCUGUAAUCCUAGGGGGACCACCAGUGGCGAAGGCGUCUAACUAGAACGGGUCUGACGGUGAGGGACGAAGCCCUGGGGCGCAAACGGGAUUAGAUACCCCGGUAGU
rnacentral:rRNA from 1 species